CUAGCCGGGGGCUGCCAGGGGCGGUUGGGGCCAAGAAGGGGACUCGACCGCCCCAGGGCGGGGCCGCCCCUAUUCCCAACUGUGCUGUGGGGGUCGUGGGGGGCUCUCCUCUGAUUCUCCUUUCCUCUCCCCCUCUUCGUCGCCUCUCGGUUUUCUUCCUCAACUUUCUCCUUUCUCUCGCUCUCUCUCGCUUCUGCCCACCGCCCCCCCCCCUUCUGUCCCCCCAGCGGACCUGAAGGAACCAGUGACUUUUUCCUUCACCAAGUGGGAGUUAUCCACAUCAAGCAUUUCACAACGACACAUCAAGAAAAGUAGGCAGGUUCAAGUCAACCAUGAAAUGGUCACUUUUUAACCCCGUCCUGUCCUCAUUAGGGAAAUGCUCAAACACAGUCCGUUUUCAAAGAGCUCUCUUAAUGAGGCGAGCUUGCCAAGUGUGCCUCUACCAGCUGCAGCCCCCGCAAACCGAGCGCCCAAAGAAGAAAAGCGCUGGGGGGGGGGGGGGCGGGGAUUUGAGGAGGCCGGGGAGAGGGGGAGCAGUGGAUCUGGGAAGACAGGUAAAGUCGGGGAAAUUUCGAGAACUCCCCCGAGUUAACCCUUGAGGGCACACACCACUGGGAGCAGCCUCCCAGCUCCCCCACCCCCACCCCCCACCCCGAGGCAAAUCCUCUACUCAGCGUUCUGACAACGUUAAUUUCCUUUGUGUGGGUCAUUUCUUCCUUUUGAAAAGCCAAGAUAAAGUUGACAGUCUUUAAAGAUGAAAGGAAUGAGGUGACAGUCGGGGUUAAUCCAUAUAAAUACUCAUUUCUCUCUCAGAAAUUUUUAGGCAAUCUCAUCUUAGAUUAAAAUAAAACCCCCCAAAGCAUCACUUUGUAUUGCACAUUACGCUGCAUCCCUUUUCUCGCCCUCAUAGCACCAGUCUGCGGGGAGGGGGCGGGGAAGCGCUACUGAUAAUACCAGCUUUAACUACUGGAGUUUCCCUUUGAACAAAUAUUCAAUUUAACCGGAGUUAAUUUACCAUAAAAGACAUUCCCCCUGGCACGAAUGCACUCAUGUCCUUGAACACACCUCUUUGAAAGCCUGGACUCUUACAGAAGCCAUUAUUUCGGGGUCUCUUUAAAAAUCCAGAGCCCAUCUCUCUCUCUUUCUCUCCCUCCCUCCCUCCCUUCUUCCCUCCCUCCACCCCACACCACCCCCAGUGAAAUCCUGGCACCCAGAGAGCACUCCUUUCAGCCAGAGAUCCCAGAACCAGCCGCUGUCCCCUGGCAAAAGAGGCCCAGUGCUGAGCCCUGGGCAAGUGUCUGCAGACAUCUCCUCCUCCCGUAUUAGUUUCCCUUACCAACAGAACUCAUUUCCCCUUGCCACCAAAACUAGGUUGCAUCCAAAAGUUUCUCACAAGCUUUAAAGAGAAAAACGAAAAAUUGACAACUGUUACACAGAAGAGCCCACAAAUCCGCAGCAGCACCAGGGGGUGAAGAAGCAGCGGCAGACCCAGCGUUUGCCCAGUAACGAGACGAGAGGAACAGCCUUCUAAGAGUGAAGCCCUCAAGACGUUUCCAAGCUGCCUGGACAAAGGCUUGGAAUGACUACAAUAGUGAACCAUCCUGCCUUGGACCUGAAUCUAGAUCGAUGACCUAAUACAUCUUUUCCAACUCUGACUGCCAUGGUUUUAUGAGCAUCAAGGACUGGGCGUCUGCCAUUGUCAACAAGUAAGGCCUCUCCAGAGCUUGAACAUCCACAGAAACCCAAGUACCCCCCUCCCCGCCGAAAAGCACAGAUCGCCCAGUCUCCCAGGGCUCUGCGUGCUGCCUCUAGCUUGCACGUGUGACACAGAAACUCCUCUUUGGCAGGAUUAAUUCUUAAAUAAAGGAAGUGUGUCCGUUA